CCAAAAACUAUGAAGAGAAGAGUAGGUAUAGAUAAUAUUUUAAAGCGAGUGGAUAAUGGUGUAAGUUCCAUAAAUAUGCUAUAUUGAAGAACAUCUCGGAGUUUCUAACCGAAAUUUUUUAAAAAGUAGGCUUAGAGGUUUCCAAAGCCUUACAUUUGGAUUGUAUGAUUAUUAUAGAGUCAUACUUUAAAGUUGGCCUUUUGGCAAUUUGGGUGGUACCGCGGAAUAUAUACCUUUCGUCCCUGUA
rnacentral:ncRNA from 1 species